GAUGAAGAACGUAGCGAAAUGCGAUAAGUAAUGUGAAUUGCAGAAUUCAGUGAAUGAUCGAAUCUUUGAACGCACAUUGCGCCCAUUAGCAUUCUAGUGGGCAUGCCUGUUCGAGCGUCAUUUCAACCCUUAAGCCCUGUUGCUUAGCGUUGGGAGCCUACAGUACUGUAGCUCCCCAAAGUUAGUGGCGGAGUCGGUUUCACACUCUAGACGUAGUAAUUUUUUCUCGUCUGUAGUUGAGCCGGUCCCCUGCCGUAAAACACCCAAUUUAUCAAGGUUGACCUCGGAUCAGGUAGGAAUACCCGCUGAACUUAAGCAUAUCAAUAAGCGGAGGA
rnacentral:misc_RNA from 1 species